rnacentral:rRNA from 1 species
UACGAAGGGUGCAAGCGUUACUCGGAAUUACUGGGCGUAAAGCGUGCGUAGGUGGUUCGUUAAGUCUGAUGUGAAAGCCCCGGGCUCAACCUGGGAACUGCAUUGGAUACUGGCGAUCUGGAGUGCGGUAGAGGGUGGCGGAAUUCCCGGUGUAGCAGUGAAAUGCGUAGAGAUCGGGAGGAACAUCAGUGGCGAAGGCGGCCAUCUGGGACAACACUGACGCUGAAGCACGAAAGCGUGGGGAGCAAACAGG